GUCUUGUUAGCUCAAUUGGAUAGAGCGUUCGACUUCUAAUCGAAAGGUUGUGGGUUCGAUCCCCAUACAGGACU
rnacentral:tRNA from 1 species